GAAGCUGACCAGACAGUCGCCGCUUCGUCGUCGUCCUUUCGGGGAGACGGGCGGAGGGGAGGAAAGUCCGGGCUCCAUAGGGCAGGGUGCCAGGUAACGCCUGGGGGGGAAACCCACGACCAGUGCAACAGAGAGCAGACCGCCGAUGGCCCACGUAAGUGGGAUCAGGUAAGGGUGAAAGGGUGCGGUAAGAGCGCACCGCGCGGCUGGUAACAGUCCGUGGCACGGUAAACUCCACCCGGAGCAAGGCCAAAUAGGGGUUCAUAAGGUACGGCCCGUACUGAACCCGGGUAGGCUGCUUGAGCCAGUGAGCGAUUGCUGGCCUAGAUGAAUGACUGUCCACGACAGAACCCGGCUUAUCGGU
rnacentral:RNase_P_RNA from 1 species